CCUUGCACUUUAGUGUGUGAGCCCCCAUGUAGAACACGUGGUUGAUAGGCUGGACGUGGAAGCCCUGUAAGGGGUGGAGCUGACCAGUACUAACGGGCGAUGGUGACA
rnacentral:rRNA from 2 species